rnacentral:rRNA from 1 species
AGUCACUGACAUUAGACUACCCGGGUAGUCCCAGCCGUAAACUAUGCGCGUUAGGUGUAUCGGUGACCACGAGUUACCGAGGUGCCGAAGGGAAGCCGUGAAACGUGCCGCCUGGGAAGUACGGUCGCAAGGCUAGAAACUUAAAGGAAUUGGCGGGGGAGCACCACAACGGGUGGAGCCUGCGGUUUAAUUGGACUCAACGCCGGGAAGCUCACCGGAUAAGACAGCGGAAUGAUUGCCGGGCCGAAGACUCUGCAUGACUAGCUG